UUCAGCCAUUUAUUAAUGCCAUGCAAUGGCAGGCUAUGAAUACAAUCUGGUUUUAAAUACUGAGGUACCCACCAAGGUACCCCUUAAGGAGGCUUGGCUUUGCAAAGCAGUGCUGCACAGAGAUGCAGGGAUAGCAAAUAGGUUGGGCCAUAUACAUCAUACAACCACUUUGGAGGACAAUAAUAGGUAGAACUAUGUUUUUUUUUAAAUGACAUAACUUAAAAUAAUAAUUAAUACGAAUAAUAAUAUUUGAAUUAGCAAUGCAACAAAACAGGAGUAGCAUCCAAAAUGUUGGCUAAGUUACAGCACCAGGCAGUUCAUAUCAUGUGGUCUCUCCCCUGAAAGUGAAUCGCUGUGUACUGAGCACCAGAUACACUGUUCCAGGAUUUCAUCUUAAAGUUAGAGGAAGAAGAGCUAAGACCUGCAAUCUCUGGGGUGGUAAUGUGUAGCUUUUAGAGUCUGAAGAAUUUUAGCCAACUGAUUGGGAAAUUAUGAUACAAUACAAAUCUCUCAAAUUGGUUUCAGAAACUUGAGGAAAGUUAUCAAAAACGUUCACUAAAUAUCUGAAAGCACCACAUUGGGAUGAUUGCACCAAGAAAAUCCAUCAUAAAACAAGUCAUUCCCACGAAGAGGCAAUUGUCAUAUCCACAAAAUGAUUUUUUAGAGAAGUAUUCACGGGUCUCUUGAAAUAUUGUUUUCUCAUGGUGCAUUAGGUUUUAAUGUUCAAGAAUUAAAUUAGCCCACCGCUUUUCAGAGUACAGUGAACUCUACCAUGUGAAAGGCAAUGUAAACCAAAGUGGGCUCAGAACCUUGCUGGAUUUAAGCACCAGACACUGGGUGGCUUCUCUGGUUCAUGGGAGAUGUGUAUCCAGUGUGUCUUGCUACACUUUUCACUUGCUUGUUCAAGGUGGGAAGAAAAGAAGACAAGUAUUAAACAAACCAAUGAUGCAGCUCUGCGCUGUCCCUCAUGAGUAUCAAAGGAAUGGAGAAGACAGCAUGUAAGUUCUUGUCUUCAGAGCCUCCCCUCUCCGAUUGCAAGCACAGGGACCUGUCAAAACCCUGAUGAUCCAAAGCUGAGUGACUGUCAAGGUAACAACUGUGUCAGAUGACUAACAGCAAGGGCUAUUUCUAUCCUGGAGACCAGAAUGAUGGAUGCCACACAGCUAUCCCACAACACAGCCUCCAAAUAGGAAGUGAACGUGUGCAUGAUUAGGGGCUAACUUCCUGUCUUUGAGAAACUAGAGAAAGGCCUAGAAUAGAGUAUCUGGCCAGACCCUCCCUACAUGUCUAUCAUCCUCUCCACCAUGUGGGUCAUAAAUAACAUGGCCCAUUUUGUGAAUUGGGAAAUCUGGCCUUGUUGAGUUUGCUGAGGUCAGUAGAGAUCUGGGUUUGUUCCUGAGUUUUGAAAGACUAGUCAUAUCCAGGUCUCUGAUGACAUGCAGAAGCCCAUGAUAGCUAGUACAGUACCAGGUGAAGUAACUCAGCCCAGAUGACUAAAUUCAGCCCCCUGAAAGUCCACACUCUACUUGCGGGAUAGUCUGUGAAAAAAAAUCAGUAUAUCCUCCACUCACGUCACCAACAAUUUUUAAGUCUCUUCUCUCUAAAAUGGUUAUUUCACCAGAGAGUGUCACCAGCCACUAAUGUUUCAUUUAAAGACAGAGAACACAGGAAUGUCAUUAUCAAGAAAUAAACCCCCUGGCUUUAGGUAAACAUAUCUGUUUUCGUCCUGUUUCUCUUCUUAAGUUCCCUCCCAGCCCCAGUGUUUUAUUUUCCACAGGAAUUUAUCAGAAUAAUUACACAUUAAUGGCUUGAAAAAUAAAAGCACAUCAAAAACAAUUUUAAGCUUCUGGUAUCCAAGCAGUAAAACCGGCAUUGGCCAGCAACACCAUUACACAUCUAACAGCUGUAGAUGGACUUGCCCACUCGUACAAGUAUCUAUAGGUUUAUACUCGUCCUGCCACCAUCUAGAUAUUAGCACCGUUUUUCAAUAGCACCAUUCUGCUGAAGGGGUAGGUAAUUCAAGGGAGCUACGGGACACUGUGCUCCUGGUGAGUAGUAACUGUGCUGGGCCUGCGCAUGAGUCUAAUAUGCUGCUCCUUACAUGAAGGGCCACAUCCCUGCCUUCCCCCCUGUCAAGAGCUGGUUCUGAAGACUUCUUCCCCUUGAGGCCCACCCACCCACCCAUCCUUGCUGUCUGGGUUCAGUUUAUGUAGAUGCCUCCCCUUAGAAACUAGGAUAUUUGCCUUGUAUUUGAGACCACAGCCUCCUGAUAGGUGGUAAGAACAUCAAGAACAAGCACUUGCAUGUUCAUUUUACUGUUUUGGACUCUCCUGACUUACCUGCUCCCCCUUCAAAAGUAACUAUUGGGAGUACUGGGGAGUAGGUCAUGUUUAUCUCACUUUUGAGUUGUUUUUUUUUUCUUUCUCAAGACUAGAAGUUUGUAUCAAGUUCUUGUACUUAAUGAAUUUUACCUGGUCCUCUGAAAUAUUUAAAUCUUGAGCUCCAUUCCCAUCCUAGGGGUAGGUGGGGAGGUAUUGUAGCCACGGACCUGGCUAUGGCAGCUGUUUGUGUAAACGCCCAGCAGUGGAAAGACAGUUGGACCUCUGAGUUGACUCAGGCAGGGAACAUGCUGGAGAGGAAAAGUCAGACAGGAAGACUCAUCUGUUCUUCUCCAAAGGAAAGGUAUUUGGCAGGAAACUGGGAAGAAUAAAGGUUCAUGUUUCUUUUCUUAUACCAGAAGAAACUGAUUUCUAUUCAUUUCCUCUUUAAGAGUUUUUCAAGGAAAUUAUCCUUGAGUCAUAAAUGUCUUCCAUGUAAUUAAGCUAAAUCCCUUACCCUUACUAAAUCCUACAGCUUCUGAUGAUUUCCUCUUAUUCUUGUGUCUCUAAGUAGGCACAGGAAUCUAAACAGUCCAGAUACCGCAUCUAUAGGGACUGAGUGAUAUAGCCAGCACUCUCUCUCCCUGCCCCAGUUGAGUACUGGCUGAAGAAAGUGGCCCUCUGCCUGGGGGAAUUAAAGGAAUGUUCCUGAAAGCUUUCCCAUGACAUUGACAUAUGAAACAGCAGCUUCCUCAAGUAGGGAGGGAAAAAAAGGAUGAUUUCACAAAGGUAAAUGGAUACAAUUAUUUGUUCCCU
rnacentral:lncRNA from 1 species